rnacentral:rRNA from 1 species
UACGUAGGGUGCAAGCGUUGUCCGGAAUUAUUGGGCGUAAAGAGCUCGUAGGCGGUUCGUCGCGUCGGCUGUGAAAUCCCGGAGCUCAACUCCGGGUCUGCAGUCGAUACGGGCGGACUUGAGUACUGCAGGGGAGACUGGAAUUCCUGGUGUAGCGGUGAAAUGCGCAGAUAUCAGGAGGAACACCGGUGGCGAAGGCGGGUCUCUGGGCCGUUACUGACGCUGAGGAGCGAAAGCGUGGGGAGCGAACAGG